CACGCCUAUUUGGAAAUCACGUUUUGGGGUUUGCUUUUUAAAUAGUUGUUAAUUAUAGACUUGGAUUGUAAGCUCUGGCAACCCCAACACUGAGUAUAGCACCUGGAACAUAUUCUGUCUGAAUAAAAAAUACCUGCUAAAUGAACAACAGGACCAUGGAGCCAGCCGCCUCGAUUCAAACCCUGCCUCUGUCACUUACCAGCUAUGUCAUCCUGGACAAGAUUCUUAACCUCUCUGGAUCUCAUCCAUAAAAUGAGAAUAUUACCUACCUUAUUUGGAGGAUUACCUGAAUUAAUUCACGUAAAAGUAUUUCUGGCAGUGUUGGACACAUGGAAAGUGCUGAUUAAAUGCUAAUUAUUACGAUUACAAAUAAAGAAGUAUGUUACCAAAACGAAUCAGAUGAACAAGAAGCUCGUCAAGUUCUCAGUGUAUUUAUCAUCUAGGAGGAAACAUCCAGCAGAUACAAAGCCAAAGGCCAUAAAUGCCAAACACAAAGUUCAAAAUGCCAUGGGAAUUCUGAGGAAAUAUCAUCUCAGGGCAGGGGGAUAAAGAAAGUUGAUGUGGAAAAUGUAGUGCCCUCAUGCUGUCUCCUGAAAGGGUUUUAGAUGGUAGGAUGGACACCUCUGGGGAAAGGGAUGGUGUGUCAGUUUGGGCUCCCUGAGAAGGAGACACCAAGACAGCAUUACAUGUGUAGGAGAUUUAUUGGGGGAACUGGCUGUGAAGGGGGAAAGGGAGAGACCUGAGAUGGCAUGGGGAGGUUGAACCACAAUGUGGGUCUGACCCCCUGUGAAGGAGACAGGGAAGGAAGGAGGGCUGGAAGAAAGGAUCUCAGACUCCCAACUCAGUCCAAAGAGGCUCUUGACCAACCCAUUGGGAGUCGUCAAGCCAGAGUCACCCUUCAGAGGCAUCUGGAUCUUGCAUGAGUGGACCACAGUAGUAUCCCCCACUUGCUCAGUAACUGCAAGUGGCCAAAGAGAAGCUCAGCUUUGGCUAAGAAGUGGUGGUGAAUCCAGAGGGAAGCAGCUGGAGACAUCAGUCAGUCAUGAUCCCCAAAGCAGAGGCCUAAGUGAUACAUUCUCAUGGUCCCACAGUGGGGCACAGGCAGUGUCACUAGUAACUAUUUGUCCUUGAAACCUUGGUUGACGUUCAGUGAAUAUGUGCCAUCACUUAAAAUCAAACGCAAGACAAUAUCAUAGGGCUCCUUAUCUUUUUAGGCUAAAGCACAGUUGCAAUACUAAAAUGAAAUAUUUACUGUUAAAAUACCUUUCAAAUGUGGGUUCAGUUUCUGAAAUAAUACAAAAGACAUAAAAAUGGUAAUGAAAUCUCUCUUUUAUAAAAAUCACAGUUAAAAACUUGAAAUGGACAUUCAGAACUACGUCAGAAACAAAGUUUGACUAAGAAUCUGAAAGGUAAGUCCUUUCCGAACUGGUAGCUUCAGGCAGCAUAUUGAUCCAAUGAGAAUAUAAGAAAACACUGCAAAAGGGCAAGGUGCCACAUGAAUAUGUAUAAUCCCAAGACAUCUUAUGUGAGGUGAAGUGACAUUCAAGGCAAAAAUGGAGAAAAUCAAAAUUACCCUUAGCCACUAGAGCCACACCCAGCAGGACAGAUGGUCCCACAGAGGAGAGGCAUGAAGGAAAGGAGACCAUUGAGAACACAGCACUUCCCUGGGCCCACCCACUGCACUCGGGGACAUAUAGUCACUGAGUGGAAGGCCAAACAAUAUAUGUACUCCCUAACUGUCCUUGUUUUACAUAUAUAUACAUUUCCUGGCUUCUGGCCAAUUACUGAAUACAUAAGUUAAAUGCAUUUAUGAGAGUGUUCCCCCAAAGAACAACAAUAAUCAGUUACAGGACUUACUGAUUACAGUAAUUCCUUUGUUUUAAGGCAUGGGAGAGGGAACAAGACACCCUUAGUCCCUAUUACUACACGGGCAAGAAAACUGGCUCAGUAGCCAGGUCUACCUCUUACCUUCACAGAGAAAACAGAAGCCAGGGCAAGAGAGCUCCCUCCACAUCUAGGACCCCAUUCUUAGUUGCUCCAAGUGGCCUUAGAGGAAGUGAUGUCCCACUUGUCAAGCCUGAUCUGCUCGACACCUUUCAUCCCACUGAAGGCCUCACCUUUGUCCAUCAUUUGUAUUCCCCUUCUCUGCACUGCAUCUUCAAUUUUGCUCUUUCAUUAGUUCCUUCUUCUACAUAUAUAUAUAUAAGAUCAAUUGGCUCAGCUCUUAGAAAGAGCACACCCACACAUACCCACCCACCCGCCCACCCUUGACCUGGUAUUUCCUCCCUCUCUUUCUGGCAUAUGAAUCUGUAUUCUUUCCAUUUCAAGACCCAGAGCUAUGACUCAAGCUAGCUGAAGCAAAAACAGGGUGUUACUGGCACCUGCAACUGAGAAACUCAGAGUUGGAGAUGGCACAGACACAGCCAGACGUCUCCGCACACAAGGGGUCUGCUGCACUCCUCUCACCCUCCAUCUCUCUGCCCUCCUUCCCUCUCAUUAUGGAUUCCAUUUGAGGAUUCACACAAAGGAGGGAGUCCGGGUCCCUUUGACCAAACUAAAAUCAGAGCUCCAGCUUCACACGAACAUCAGUGGCUUUGGCAGCAGGAAGAGCAUCCCUAGACUCUGCGUGAGGAGUCCAACCGGUACACUUGGUUCCUGGGAUCCAGCUUCACUGGGACAGAAGAGUAAAAGACACAGAGAAGGCCAUGUGAAAAUGGAGGCAGAGAUUGGAGUCAUGUAGCCAUAAGCCAAGUGAUCCUGGAGCCACCAGAAGCUAGAAGAAACAAGAAAGGAUUCUGUCAGGGGGUUGUCCAGAGGGAGCACCAACACCUUGAUUUUAGACUUCUGAACUUAAGAAAUCAGAAAAUAAAUGUCUGUUAUUUUAAGCCACCUUGUUUGUGGUACUUUGUUGUAGCAGCCCUGGAAAAUGAAUACCACCAGAUGCUGGAGACAACCCAGUGUGACUGUCUAGCAAGAUCAGAAUGACCAAUAUUGAUUAUAAGACCUUGAAUAAAUAACAUUCAAGAAUCCAUAAUGAUACUCAAAAGAAUGCUUUGUGAUGUCCUAGAAAAUUGUUGUUUCAAGGGCCAUGUGGAAACUGCAACUCCUGCCGUUAUUGAUGUUAAAUAUUUAUCAAACAAUUCUACCAUUCCUCAUUGUUGGGCUUAUACCCAGCACAGGGUCAGGGUCAGCAAUCAAUCACUAUUUGUGGAAUAAACAAAAUCAUUCAUUUCUUCA